rnacentral:rRNA from 1 species
CGGUAAUUCCAGCUCCCCGAGUGGUCAGGACGAUUAUUGGGCCUAAAGCGUCCGUAGCUGGCUUGACAAGUUUCCCGUUAAAUCCGACGAUCCAAUCGUCGGGCUGCGGGAAAUACUGUUAAGCUAGGAGGCGGGAGAGGCCGGCGGCACUUUUGGGGUAGGGGUGAAAUCCUAUAAUCCCAAGAGGACCACCAGUGGCGAAGGCGACCGGCCAGAACGCACUCGACGGUGAGGGACGAAAGCUGGUGGAGCAAACAUGGAUUAGAUACCCGGGUAGACCCAGCUGUAAACGAUGACGGGCAUAAGUGACGGGAUGGCCAUAGAGCCAUCUCGGUGCUGCAGGGAAGCCGUUAAGCCCGCCGCCUGGCGAGUACGGCCGCAAGGAUGAAACUUAAAGGAAUUGGCGGGGGAGCACCACAAGGGGUGAAGCUUGCGGUUCAAUCGGAGUCAACGCCGGGAACCUCACCGGGGAAGACAGCGGAAUGAAUGCCAGGUUGAAGGUCUUGCAGGACUAGCUGAGAGGAGGUGCAUGACCGUCACCAGUUCGUGCCGUGAGGUAUCCCGUUAAGUCGGGGAACGAGCGAGACCCACACGCCUUAUUUCCAGCGGGUCCUAGCGGAUGCCGGGCACUUUAGGGGGACCGCCACCGAUAAGGUGGAGGAAGGAGUGGGCCACGGCAGGUCAGUAUGCCCCGAAUUCCUCGGUCCACACGUGAGCUGCAAUGGCGGGGACAAUGGGCUCCGCCCCUGAAAAGGGAAGGAAAUCCUCAAACCCUGCCUCAGUUGGGAUCGAGGGCUGCAACCCGUCCUCGUGAUCAUGGAAUCCGUAGUAAUCGCGUGUCAUCAGCGCGCGGUGAAUGCGUCCCUGCUCCUUGCACACACUGCCCGUCGCUCCAAUCGAGUUGGGUCUAGGUGCGGCGCGGUCUUGUUGGUCGUGUCGAACCUGAGCUCAGCAAGGGGGGAGAAGUCGUAACAAGGUAACC